CGGUUGGCGAAAACACAGACACAGUGUUAUAUAUACUCCGUCACUAGGUCUGCACCUGUGCUACCCCAGA
rfam:Angomonas deanei Cont3504, whole genome shotgun sequence.